rnacentral:rRNA from 1 species
UACGUAGGGGGCAAGCGUUGUCCGGAUUUAUUGGGCGUAAAGAGCGUGUAGGCGGCUUGGCAAGUCCGCUGUGAAAACUCGAGGCUCAACCUCGAGCUGUCGGUGGAAACUGCCUGGCUAGAGUCCGGAAGAGGAGUGUGGAAUUCCUGGUGUAGCGGUGAAAUGCGCAGAUAUCAGGAAGAACACCCGUGGCUAAGGCGGCUCUCUAGUACGGUACUGACGCUGAGACGCGAAAGCGUGGGGAGCGAACAGG